rnacentral:rRNA from 1 species
GUUAAAAACAAAUCUACCUUAAAAAAUGUAAAGGAACUGAACAAGCCUGAUGUCUGAUCUCAAAAGCUAAGCAGGGUUGGGCCUGGUUAGUACUUAGAUGAGAGACCACCUAGAAACACCAGGUGCUAUAGGCA